AGUCCACCCCAACAAAAAGUUCAUUUGAAUAAAAAGAGAAAAAUCCAACAAGCAUAACACCUAAAAAUUUCAUCAAAAUUGAAUGUAAAAUAAAAAAGUUAUGACAUUUUAAACUUUCUCUAAAUUUCACAAAAACAUCCUGGGGUCCGUUGCAGAAAGAGUUGCGUUUAAACGCAAGUCAAAAUAUCAAUAGCAAGUCCGAAAUGCGUGCUGUUGAUUGGUUGAAAAUCAAGUUGCGCAUGAUUUUUAGAGUUGCGAUUGAUUGCAACUCUUUCUUCAACAGGCCCCUGGUCUGUAUGCAAAUGAGGAGACUGAUGACAUCAUCCACUCACUAUUUCUUUUGUAUUUUAUUAUAUGAAAGAUGAAAUAAUCUAAUUUUCUCCUCUUUGUCAAGUGAAACAAUGAUUAAUUCCUCCAUGAACAUGUGGAAUUAGAAUUGUUUAAUACUAUAUGGUUCAGUCAAGUUGGUCCUUAUUGUCAAAUCUGUAACAAAUGAAAUAUUGUAUAUUUCAAACAAUAGAAAACAAAAGAAAUAGUGAGUGAGGGACAUCAUCGACCAUCUCAUUUGCAUGUCACUGAGAUGUGCAUAUCACUGUUUUGUGAAAAAUAAGCGAAACUUUAAAAUGUCAUAACUUUCUUAUUUUAUGUCCAAUUUUGAUGAAAUUUCCAGAGUUAUGCUAGUUUGAUUUUUCUCUAUUCAUUCAAAUCAACAUUUUUCUGGGGUGGACUUGACCUUUAAAGAAGUUUAGCACAUGCCAUUGUAUUAUUUUCCCUUUCUCUUGUCCGUAUUCUUUCUGUCUUCCCUUCUUUUCUCUCCUCCUUAAUUCUUACACUUCCCCCACCCCCUCCUCCUUCUUCUUCUUCUUUUCCUCCUCCUUCUUCUCCUCCUUCGUCUCAUUCUUCAUAGGUCUUCUCCUCCUCCCCCUUUGUUCUCCAUGUUCUUCUCCUCCUCCUCCUCUUCUUCUUCUUCUUCAUCUUCUUCUCCUUCUCUUUGUCCUAUUUCUCUAUUUCUUCCAAGCAAUUGCAUUAGCCUCUUGCAUACAUGUACACUGUAUGAUCGAUCCAGUUUGCCCCCCCCCCUAUCCCCUUCCUAACAGCAAUAUCAAUUUAUUGCCCACGUCUCAAAAUACUUAUGCUGGCUGCUAAAGUCUUUAAUCUGGUCUUGAAAGAAUAAAUGCAAGGAAGCUGACCUGACCUACUUACUGGCCACUUAUCCAUUAUCCAUGACCUUUGCCCAUUCUCUGAGACCGAGUUCAUUCUGAGGACACUUCAACACAUAUUAAAAACAAACUGACCUCAGACUUUAUACUGAUAGAGAGACUCGAUUUCUCUUUUACCAAAAAUCUGAAUUUCGUUUUUUAAACUCUGUAUUUUUACAAUUCCCUAUGCUGUUUAAAUACUCAAAAUCAUAAAAACAUACAAUGUAGGCCUGCAUGUACCUGUCCCAAAACAGAUAAAAAUCUCCUUUGAAUUUUUGUCAAAUGGAGCAGCAGUAUUCAUUGUAUUGGUAAUGUCAAUGAAAUGUAAAUGUGUAGAUGGCAAGCAGACCCCCCCCCCCCAUUCCCAGUCCUGAUCUGCCGAAAGGUUUGGCGUUUUUUUACUCUUAUCAGAAUCUCAUGAAUAAUUUGAUUUUUUAAAUAAUUUUAGAAAACAACUACUUUGUAAUUCACUUCCAAUGUGUAUGAUUUCCAAAAUUCCAUGUUACCUGUAUAAACUAAGAACUACAUUUCAAUCUCUCUCUCUCUGCAUCGUGGAGGCCUUGUCAGAGUAAACAUAUGUCCACUUCACUGACCUUCUAUGAGGUCAAGAUUGUGUCCAUACAUAGCCAUGAACACUUCACAUAGCUGAGCAACCCAAGGCUAGGCUAUCCAUAUCAACAAACUGACUCACUAUCAGUCCAGUCUGAUACUGUGUCAUCCCAUGGACUAGUAGGUCCAUGGUCAUAGAGGUUCGCCUAUUUACAUCAACAUGUACAUGUACUUGAUGCUACAGUAGGCAGCAGCCUACAUGUAUAUAAAAUUACAUUAUUUAUAUAGCGCAUCAAAGUCUUUAUAUUUUCAUUUUCACUGAAAGAAUACGCAGAAAUCAAAAUAAAAAUCCUGUCUAAAAGUUAUACAUGUACAUACAUGUAUAUGAGAAUGGACUAGAUGUACUGUAGUGCUUUGAAUUGCAUGGGUUCUCCAGGGCUUUCAAUCUUUGAUCAAAAAAAAUAUUAUUAUUCACAAACUUUCUCCCUCGUGUAAGUAAAUGUAGACCUAUUCUAUGUGGUGUACCAUAGGGAUCAUUACUUGGCCCACUAUUAUUUAUCGCCAAUAAUACUUAAAAUCACUCAAACAUUUAUUUGGACUAAUCCUACCAAUGUAAUUCUUGUUUAUAACAUUAACCAAAUUUUUAACAAUACAUACUGUAUGGAAUAAUAAAGGAAACCACAUUUGAUGACCAUACUGUACAUGUACAUGUAGCACAUACCCAAACAUAUUUAUUACUUGAUUCAUUGGCAAACUCAAUAGAAUAGACCUUAUGCAACAAGUGUUUUACUCAUGUAUUCUACACCCACACAAACACACUUUAUCUGGUCAUGUAAAUGCCCCCCUCCCCUUUGAAGAGCCAAAAUACAUGUACAUAAAAUGUAUAAAUGACAAUGGCAGCAUACAUGUAAUGUACAAGACCACUGGAACAAUAAGUUACAGCAGGGCUGGAUUACAGGUUUAUUUCAGAAUAUUUCAUUCUUGUUAUUAAUCAUCCUCCCACAUGGAAUAUACUGGCCUGCUGUCAUAUUAUUUCCUCUGAGAAUGUAUUAAAUAACAUGUUGGAUUUAUCCUUGGUUUGGGUCAUGUGAUCUAUAUGUAAAAGAACAUGGAUUAAUCACAACAUCAUGGCAAUGACCAAGUACAGUGUAUCCUUGGCCCACAAUCAGGUUGUUUUUAAAGGACAAGUCCACCCAAACAAAAAGUUGAUAGAAUAAAAAGAGAAAAAUCCAACAAGCAUACUGCUGAAAAUUUCAUCAAAAUCAGAUGUACAUUUGUAAAAGAUAUUUAUGACAUUUUUAAAUUUCACUCAAUUUCACAAAACAGUUAUAUGCACAUCCUGGUCUUUAUGCAAAUGAGGGGACUGAUGUCAUCCACUCACUAAUUCUUUUUUUUUUUGUUAUAGGAAAUAUGAAAUAUUCUAUUUUUCCCCUCAUUAUCAUGUGAAAGAAAGUUUUAUUCCUCCCUGAACAUCUGAAAUUACCAUUGUUUUUAACAUUUUAUGGUUGAGUCAACUCGGUGCUUCUUGUCAUAUUUGGAAAAAUUGAAGUAUUGUAUAAUUCAAACAAUAAAAAAACAAAAGAAAUAGUGAGGGACAUCUUCGACUAUCUCAUUUAGAUGUCACUAAUUUGUACAUAUAACUAUUUUGUGAAAGAUAUCGAGGAUAUCGCGUCUGUAACGAUGGCGAAGAACAAUAAGAAACGUUUCGGACAGGUUGACACAUGCAGUGUGGAUUAAAUGACAUAAGAAUGUGCACAAAUGAUCAGAACAUACUAAAACAUUUGAUUUUUUUAAAUCUGAAUCUAAUUUUUGUUUAUCAACCCUGGUACAUAAAUUAUGAAAUGGUACUAAUACUGCUAAUUUAAGACACUUGUUUGGUGUCCUAUUGUACAUACACAAAAAUUCAUGGGCUUUGUAAUGUAAUGUACAUGUAAUUCAUAUUCCAAUUUAACCAAUAUUUUUAUCAAUUCGAAACCUUGUACUGGGCUUCCGAAAAUCACCUAAGCAAAGGAAUUGUAUGCCGCCUGGAAGUUCAAAGCCAGGUGGAAUGUAACAAAUCCCAUUGCUAAUGCUUUAGGACCCAUCAAUAAGUAUAAAUUAUAAGAGUUGCAACUUCUUCAACUCAAGUCUUUCCUAACAAUUCCCUGUUCUGAUUGCACAAUUCUAUGCUUGUACACCUGUACACGCACUUAUGUAUUCAGACUUCCAAAUCAAGCAGCAGGCCUUCUUCCAAUACUUUACCCUGUACACAUGUAGUUACAUGUAGGCCUAUUGAUAAAACUUGAUUUGAGAGCAGAUUACAUACAUGUACAGUGAACAUUGUAUUUCAAAUUCAAUGCACAUACAUGUACACUUGUACUGCAUGAGACAAAAACUUUCAAAAUAAUCAUCAUUUUACGUAGUAUGAUGUUAUUUUAAAGUUUUCAUCUCAUGCAGUUUGUGCAUAAUAUUAAUAAUGUAAAAUCUGAAAAGAGAUGCCAUCUACUUUGUGUAUCAAUUCAAUUAUCUUUUCUGCCGAAUGGGACUACACAAGGAAAUAUAGAGAGCUCACACUCCUCGGAAGGAAGUAAGACCCUGGCUACCUAUAUCCUGUACACCCACUAUUUAAUGAGCUUUGGGAAGGAUGGAGUAGAAAAGGAAAUAGAUCCAGGUUAAAAAAGAAAUGGCACCUACAUGUAUCCUUCAUCAAAGUUCAUUAAACCUAUUGAAAAAUGACCCCAUCAAAAUGAAAUAAACACAAAUACAUAGGUCUAAUGGUAUUUUACAUGUAGACUGUAGUACCUCAUCAGUCAUUCAAUUAAAGUUGUAUGUAAACUCAUGAACAGCUCUAUGAAAUGCCAGUUUAUCUUGCGUAGACUACUACAGAUGUACACAUGUACAUUGUACAUGUAACUGGGUAUGUAAAAUAUGCCUGGCAAAUGUUUUCCAUCCUGAAAUGAUUGAUAUAAUUUAUUAAUUACCUUCUGUUAAUGAUGAAGAGAUUCCAGUGGUUGGCGGGACAGCAGACGUCAAUCUGUCUCCUCCUCCUGUUCCAUUGCUGUUUUUCUUCCAUCCUCUCCAGUUAUUGUUACAUACACUCUCUGCCUCACUCACCCAAGAACAUAAUGAAUCUUCCUCAAACCUAUCGCUAUCCUCAAAUGAAAACUGGUCUCCUUGGUCAUCCCAGUCAUAUAUAAAAUCCAUUCUACAAACACGGCGUAUAUUUACGCUUGGAGUAAUUUAAAAUGACAGACCUAUUCCGUGCUUACUUUCCCCUUAGAUUCAUGUAAACAGUACAAAUUUAGUUUCCUUAAUUAAGCUCUUCAAUUUUCAGAUAAAUCAGAAAACAUAGACGAAGCUUUAAAAAUAAAGGAUGGACUCAAAAGUUUGUUAAUUCUCCAAUAAAAUCAUAUUUUCUGUCAUGUAAAUAGGGAAACCCGGUCGAAAACACCAAUAAAUCUACAAAUAAAUGAAGCAAAUUGAGGCAGAAUCAAGACCAGUACAGAUCAGCUGCAUGUUCUUCGCCUGUGCUGUGAAACCUGCACCGAGCUGCCGAUCCCUUUCUUUGUCAGGAUUGCUUCUGACUGACUGUGUUGUGAUCCUCAUUCGGUGUGUGUAGUGUGUGUUCCACUGGGCACUGGCACUGACUCCGUCCAGACAAAAAAAAAAGGAUCUCGCUCGUCAUAAAUUCACUGCUACACUCAAGAGAUCAUUCGCUUUCAAUCCUACUUUGAUCUGGAUAUAGUCCUACAGCAUCGGGAAACACAUCCAUACUAGUAAUCUUAAUAUUUCAGUUAAAGACGCGAAUAUUUCCCUUGUUCUUUCAUUUGACUCCCGAGUCCGUACACUGUCUUACUACAUUGAUCACAGCUGUUCAAUGGACGUCGGACGUAAACAAUAUACAAAUAAUGCAUGCAGCCGAGUGCGUUAGUGGAAA